rnacentral:lncRNA from 1 species
CCAGAUCCCAAAGCCCCUUUUCCCUUCUCCUGGUGGCCACUGGGUGUCUGUCCCCGGCCACGCUCUCUCUCUGCAGAGUGUACUUUUUUACCUUCAUUCUCAUAGUGGUCAUGAGCUAGACAGUUAAACCCAGCACAGUAUCUGCCACUAACCUGGCCAUGGAACGGACCACUUUAGGCUCUGCCAGGUACAAGAAAACUUCCAGCCACUGUGCAGGUUCCCUGCGUGCAAGCUAGAGGCCCCGUGACGCCCGUGACUCACCAUGGGAAACACCUGUAGAUCCCAGCAACCUCAUCUUUAGGUUUAAAAAUGGAAACGGUUUGACCUCGGUGAUCUGAGAAAAAACAGCUUACCUUCUACUGCACCACUGUUUGGCUCCUCUAUUGACUAGGAAGUGGACGGAUGGGUACAGGAUGGCAGUCUGAACUACAGUGCUCUUUUGCAUUGGAUCUUUCCUGCAAAAGGCAAGGAAAGUGGACGGAAGUCCCUCUGUCCAGGCUUUCACUGCUCUUUAUCCGAAACCAUUCCUCUGCAAAGGCCCAGGAGAUGCGGUGCUUCGAGAGACC